CGUCUAGGCGGAGCUGCAAGUCGGUUGUGAAAUCCCUCGGCUUACCCGAGGAAGUGCACCCGAAACUGCUGUUCUUGAGGACGAGAGGGGAGAGUGGAACUCCUGGUGGAGCGGUGAAAUGCGUAGAUAUCAGGAGGAACGCCGGUGGCGAAAGCGACUCUCUGGCUCGUUCCUGACGCUGAAGCGCGAAAGCUAGGGGAGCGAACG
rnacentral:rRNA from 1 species